rnacentral:rRNA from 1 species
UGGGGAAUAUUGGACAAUGGGGGAAACCCUGAUCCAGCAAUGCCGCGUGAGUGAAGAAGGCCUUAGGGUUGUAAAGCUCUUUCGCCCGCGAAGAUAAUGACGGUAGCGGGAGAAGAAGCCCCGGCUAACUCCGUGCCAGCAGCCGCGGUAAUACGGAGGGGGCUAGCGUUGUUCGGAAUUACUGGGCGUAAAGCGUACGUAGGCGGAUGCGCAAGUUGGGGGUGAAAUCCCGGGGCUUAACCUCGGAAUUGCCCUCAAAACUGCACGUCUUGAGACCGAGAGAGGUAAGGGGAAUUCCUAGUGUAGAGGUGAGAUUCGUAGAUAUUAGGAAGAACACCAGUGGCGAAGGCGCCUUACUGGCUCGGUACUGACGCUGAGGUACGAAAGCGUGGGGAGCAAACA